UGUUAUGUUCAUACAAAUACUUACACGUUAAGUUUGCUGAAAAUAAAUGCAGUUGACAGUGAGAGGAUGUUUCUUUUUUUGCUGAGUUUAUUUACUAGCUAGUAAGUCUCAAGACAUGAAUACAUUUUUUGAUACAUUAGCUAGCCAGCAUUUUAAUAACAAUAACUGGUGUCUGGCUAUCAUUAGCUAAAUUAUCGCUAAUGUAGCUAGCUAGCUAAUGGGAAGUUACAUUGAUAACAUUAGAUUGGGUUAGGUUGCUUGCUUGCUAGCUACCCAACUGUCUAUGUGCUGAGUGCCUUAUACAGUUACUGUUAGCUAGCUAGAGCUGUCUAGCUAACGUUAGUGAUUACAUUACCUUUAAUAAUGCCUGGGUAUAAAAGUAAUGUUAAACCACUUAAAAUUCAAUGGUGUAGCUAAAUGUUACCUAGCUAGCUAACUUGCUCAAUAUGGAGGACAGUGACGUAGGCUAAUGUUGUUGUGCAGUGAGUUUGUCCUUGGGAAAAUUGUAGGUUGGAAAUUAACAUUAAUUACUAAGAGACACAAGACAUUAACUACUAGCUAACCUGUAGUUAGGUACAAAUGUUUUAUUUAACCAAAUUCUGAUGUUAACCAAAUUAGUAGCUAAUAUAUCAAAUACUAUAACUACAAAUGCAAUCAUUGCCUGGCGGAGAAGGCUCCACAAGGAGCCAACUAGUAGUCAGGGUUGCAAUGUCUGCGGUUUUCCCACGAAUGGACUACUUUGAAAACGGUGUUGUGGGUGAAAAUGUAUUGGUCGUGGGUUGCUGAUUUUUUGGGGUCUACUUCCAAGUUGCAUCCCAGGUAGCACAAACAUCUGGCCCACAUUUGUCCUAAUUCCAGCACGCCAGAUCUAAAACUGCUAGCAGCUGGAUCCGGCCAAAGUCCAAAAUGAAUGACUGUACAGACUAAGCCUGAGUCAUUCGGCCCAGAUAUGGCAGCCGGAACUGAGCCAAAGCUCCCCCACCUCAACCACUAAAAAUGUAGGUAGUAAUAUUGCAGCUAUCAACCGAACUAUGAACAACAUAAACAUGAAAAAAGACGUGACAUUUUCUUAUUUUAAGACUUUUAUUUAAAUAGAUGAAAUUGACUGUGUGGGUGUCCUCCCUCAAUAGACACUAUGUACACUGUCGUUCAAAAGUUUGGGGUCACUUAGAAAUGUUCUUGUUUUUUAAAGAAAAGCAAAUUUUUUGGUCCAUGAACCUUUUCACACGUACCAACCCACAGGUGUGAUCAUUCUACAGUGGUCCCUGUAGCAUACGAUCAAACCGGUGUGAUUAGAAUGCUUAUUUAGAACGGCCAGUUUCGAAUGACGCAACAAUCAACAUUUGAGCUGGCCACAGUUUUUUCAGUAACAUUUUGCACAAACAGUCUUUACAAAGUUAUGUCCAGAAUGUGAGCAGUUUAUUUUUGGAUGCAAUGUUCAGACAUUCACAGAAGUAUCUACAGCAUAACACAAUCAUCCAAACCGGAAAAAUGUUUGCUACGUUUGUCCUAGCGCUAACUGAGGAAAGAUUGACGUAACAAGCGGUCAUAUUUUUAUAACUCUCAUCUGACAUAAACUACAAUAGAAAUUAGCUAAUAGCAAUUACUAUUUAUAAUUAAUCACAUCACGGGUGAGCUCACCAUUGAUCGAAAUAAUUGAGUUAAACACUUUCUAGAAAUCGAAAGUAAUCGGACGAUGGGUAGUUUCUGCGCACCACCAUGCUUUCCCCCCCCUCACAGGAACCAAAGAUAAUAAGAGAAGACAAGAUGAGUUUGGUCUGUUUAUAGUAUGCAUGUUGAAGGGGGUGUGUCGUCUACCAUCGUUCACAUCCUACCAUUCACUAUCGGAAGUUCUCAAACUGAGUGAAUUCUUACUCACCUCAUUUUGUUAUAACUGGAAUUAGCUUAGCUCAUCAUAAAUCAGUACAACCUUCAAAAAAGUAUUUUACACACAUAAUGUGCCCAUUACAAUCUAUGCAAGAAUCGGAAUGCAUGAUUUGUCAAUAGUACUUAAACGUGAAUAAAAAAGUUUAUAUAUAAAUAAUUCCCCCACAAAACAUUUUCCGAUAGUGAUUUAUUGAUUCAAGUGGCGCGUGCCAGCAGUCAAUCACGUAACCUCUCACUCUGAGCCAUUCAGGGUUGUUGUUUAUGUAUGUAGCUAGUGAGAUAAGCUGUAGCAUUAGCAAUGUCUUUCAAAAGGAGACCACUCACAAAUGAGGAAAUUCUGGAGGGUUUUUUUCUUCUAAAAAUGAGUCAAAGUCAGGAAUCAGAUUCUGACAGUGAGGAGCUGCCCCCCAACCUUGUAUCCAUUGAGAACCCUGAAUCUGAGGACUCCUUGUCGACUGACAAAGUCCCAGGUCCCUUUGAAGAUGCUGGUGGUGAUGGAGGCAGACUGACCGUGGAUGAAGUACAGGAGUUCUGUGGUAGCUGGAAGGCCGCCAGCCAUUUCACUCCUCCUGGCCCUGCUGUUUGCUUUGAUGAGUCCCAGUCUGGAGUGCAACACCCCUUGCCAUUACCAUCUGAGGCAGAGUGCUUCAAGCUGUUUCUGACAGAGGAGCUGGUGAGAGACAUAGUAGAGACCAAUCGCUAUGCCUUGGAGCUACAGGAAAAAAGAGCCAGGAGUGAGGGGGAAACUCGCUAAAUGGGUAACAACCACAAUUAAUGAAAUGCAUACCUUCCUGGUGACAGUCCUUCUCAUGGGGAUAGUAAAGAAGAACUCCCUAAGAGAAUACUGGAGCACAGAUCCUAUGUUUGCAACUCCCUUGUUUGCCACCCUCUAUUCCCAAGACCACUUCCUAGUUCUGCUGCGAUGCCUGCAUGUCGUCAACAAUGCUACUGCCAUCCUAGAUGACCCGUUAUACAAAAUAAGAAAUGUUCUUACCAGCCUGGCAUCAGCAUUUGGUCGGGUCUUUGUGCCAUACAACGACCUAUGCAUUGAUGAGUCCCUGAUGUUAUGGAAAUGUAGGCUGGCGUUCCGUCACUAUAUUCCCUCCAAAAGGCACAGGUUUGGGGUCAAGUUCAUUGUCAUGUGCGACGUGAAGACAGGAUUUGUCCAGGACAUUAUAGUUUACACAGGGUCCACCACUGACAUCCAACAUUGAGAGGCUUGGGGUGUCCGGGUCCGUGCUGAUGACCAUGCUGGCUGCUUAUCUAAGCAAGUGACACACUUUGUAUCAGGAGCAUAACAGGGAUAACCCUGUUAUCCUGGGAGUGCGAUGGUCGCCUUGAUCCAGUACAUUCAGCACAGAGACCAGGAGGGGGGCAGCUGCUGUGGCCAGGCCCGCCGCAGCCAGCACCACCCCCGCCAGUAACACCCGGCCCAAGAGUGCGGCAAGGUAAGUGUUACAUAUCAUCUUACAGGAAAAUAGAAUUCUACUUGUUCCACACAGUUGGAAAUGAUCACAUAUUUGGUAUGUUUUGUUGUCAAAGGCCUCUUGGUCCUGUGAUCUCGGCGUUCCUGUCAAGGCACUCUCUCGUCCCAGGGUGUCUUUCCCUCAGCCGGCACUGCCACCGACAGAGCCAUUGGACGCAGAGCUGGUCAAAGCAGCCGCUGACGUAGACACACGUACGUUUUUACGUCACUAUUAAUUGACAUAGGACAUUUGAUAAGUUUUGAUAACUAUUCAGUUAGUCUGCUGACAUAUUAAAGUGUUGUCACUUAUUUCCUAUCAUCAGCCCAAAGAAGUGUAUUGGUAAGAGUAAUUUGGGUUUAGAGGAGAGUCACUGCAUGUAUGCACAAUUAAACGUCUUGCCUUGUCACAGCAGCUGUCAUCCAGCAUGUCACGGAAUCAUGAGUUUCUCUUUUCCAUUUUAAUCAAUCUUUAAAUUUUACUCUGAAUUCUUGACCAACACUCAUUUCAUUAUUUUGUUACAUCCUAUCACUGAUUGAUAUUCAUCUGGGCAUGUUGGAAUGUGCUAUUAUUUUAAUCUAUCUCAUCUACAUUUCUAAUAUGACACUGUCAUUCAUUCAAUUGAUUUAUUUCUGUGUCACUGCAAAAGCCGUAGCCCUACAGGUCCUCCCAUCGCUCCCUCUGCCUCAAACUGACCCAGUCCCAGCCCCACUGGGGCAGAACGAAGAAGAUGAUUUGCCCCGGCAGUCCUUCCUGCCUCCAAAGCCCGCCUCAGAAAGUGCUGAGGCUGUCCUGUGACCUGCGGGUUGUGAGCAUGCUGAGGUCGCGCACAUUGGGGAACAGUGCAUCACAGACCUACAGCAAGCUGUGUGAGUCACAGUGAGUCCUGGAUGCGGAGUUCUACACGGUACCUCGGCGAGUGCGAGCAGUUCACCAGUCCUCCAGAGAUGCCCCCCGGUGCCCUCACCCGUCUGGCUGCUGACGGUCUACAGCCAUGACGUGCUGUCGCGGCUGGACGAGGUGUAGGCCAGGGUCACCUCCAUCUUUGGGUCCAUCUUAAAGAUGGACUCUACCAAGAAGGGGAACACCUCGGAGUUGAGUACCUGUACUCGCAGACUACUGCAGGAUGUCAGCGCGGACCCUGAAGUUUCAGAAGAGGUAGCCGCCGUCGAGCAGCUCGACGAGGAAGACAAGGGCUUUCAGGAGGAUGUGGACCCGACAGUUCACAUCCCUCCUGUUACUCCUAUGAGCGUCCCGUCCUCCAGCUCAGCGGCACCUCUGUAAGGGAAACCGCUGACGCACCCAGGUCUGGGCCAUCCUGUCCCACCGCGCCUGAAGACGGAAGCUCUCCUGAGGCCCCUGAUCGCCAGAAUUCUCCUCACCCUGACCACUCCUCUGAUUCAGAGAGGAAUCAUAUGUCUGCAGGCUUGCCGGGGCCUUGGUGGGGAUGAGGAACCACAGGGUAGAUGGUCUGGUGGCGCUGUGGCUGGCACUGCCAGACUACGACAAGCAGCGCUUGAUCUACCGGCAUGGUAGAUCCCGACACCAGGAGAGAAUUGUUUGGUGGAGACCAUUUGCAGUCGCCUCUGUCAAAUCCAUCUCAGCGCCAUGCAGUCUGCCGGCGUCAAGACGAGCAGGUACUACCGGCAUCAGAAGGAGAGGAUUGGGGCUCGCCCCUCCACUACCAACGGGAGGGAUCCAGGCACCCUUCCCUUCGCCCCCCCGAUCCCACGCCAGGCCAUCCAACAAGGACGGCUCGCCCACGCGCCCAUUCUGCCAGCCCAUCUGGAGCAACAACACCCCGCAUUUCCGGACCCCUCCCAAGCCCUGCCAGCCCAAGGACCACCCCCGGCUUCCUCUUUACCUCCUCUGGUUCCAAGGACAACAGCUUGGCGGAGGACAAGGAGGGGACAGCCGGGAAGGCAGCAAUAUGAUCCAAAUGCGGGUUGCCGAAGCGGCGGGAGACGGGCAUAGUCACGUCGGUGGAAUGGCGUUCUCCUCUGUUGUUGCGGGGGGUAAGAACCAUUAGCUGGCGGAAAUGAAGGACGCUAAAGGGGCGAGGUGACAGACACUGAGCCACUGGCUGGUCGGAUAUUUUUUUCGUUUGGAACCAUGUCUCCUUUCUCACUUGUUGGUACACUAAUGCAUCUGUCACAAAACAAAAGGGCCCGGCUGACCACAACAAAGCCUCUCAAAGCACAUGGCUACUUAAUACGCAUUGUUGACCCAUGCCUUCUGUCACCCAGCAAAACCCCCCUUUUCCCCUCUUCCUUGGACUGAGAAGAUUACGGGAUCGAGAAAUCACCCAGAGGUUUAAUCAGAAUUUGAAAUCUUGGAACACAGGUUAUCUUGGUGAAUGAUAGUGAAAUUUAUCCACGGGGCGGCCAAUCUUAUCUUCAAUAAGCUUUGCGAAUCGUUUAUGCUUCCCCAGCAGUCAGUUCUAAUAGCGAACUGACUAUGCUGACUAGUCACCUCGCCUCAAAAUGAUCCGUGAAGGCUUUUGCUACAUCUUCCCCUUUAGUAGUACCAUGCAUGGGUUUUAGACCAAGCACCUCUCCUCAUGUACCUCUGAGUCACAGUAUCUUGCAACAACUGCCAGACGUGAAAUGUCAUUCACAUCCACACUAAACAGGUGCAUCUUUUAACGCUAAAGUUUGCUGUUCCUUUACAUUUUCAACCAUCUCGGUAACGUGCCUUUCAACAGACACAUGCAUGUCUUUUAUCUUUGAGAUGAUUGUGUCUUUGUUAGGCAAUCCAUCAAAUAAAGCCUGCAAACUGAGGAAAGACUCCUUAAUAUAUUCCCCAUUAGUAAAUGGUUUAGCAAUGCACUGCGCAACUUUGUAGCUCCCCUCUGUAGCGUGAUUUUUUUGACAGCAUAUAGAUUUGUAAACACACUGCUUUGCUUUUCAUACCUGGACACAGCCCUCUUGAUUCCUUUAGCCUUGUCCGCCUCCUAGGAAGUUUUCCUCAUGUGUCGUUUAAAAUGACGCUGUACACUUGACGUCCGACAAACAACAGUUUUACCACAGCCAGCUCUUAAGUAAAAUGAGUCCAUAGUCCUUUGUCCAAGACGCAAUAAAUGAGCGGACAUGUCUUA